AAGUCAGGGAGCAGAAACCACAGAAGGUGGAUCCUUAUCGACUCACUCCCUGGCUCACACUCAGCUGCUCAGAGUGUGCUGCACAGUCACCAAUCAAGAUGCUUUCUCACGGACAUCACCACAGGUGUAUCCGUAUCUUAUGUUAUGUGGGUGCCACCAAAGGCCAGAAGAAGGCAUUGGAUCCCCUGGAGCUAGAGUUAUAGACAGUUGUAAGCUGUCCAAUGUGCGUUCUGGAAGUAAACCCAGAUCCUCUGCAAGUGCAAGUAUACACUGUUAGUUGCUGAGCUGUCUCUUCAGCUUUUGCUGGGAUCUUGAUCCACAUUUUGUCAUCUAGUCUUCAUAAUAGAAGGGCAAGAACUGCCUAGGAUAGUCUCUGGCCUCCAUGGAGCUGGUUCUUCAGAGCCACGGAACAAAGAUGUCCAUAUGUACUUAUAUACUAUCUGUAUCGUACAUAUAAAAGAUACCAUUUAUACUCA